rnacentral:rRNA from 1 species
GACAGAGGGUGCAAACGUUGUUCGGAAUUACUGGGCGUAAAGCGCGUGUAGGCGGCCAUCUAAGUCGGGCGUGAAAUCCCACGGCUCAACCGUGGAAGUGCACUCGAAACUGGAUGGCUAGAGUCCUGGAGAGGAAGGUGGAAUGCUUGGUGUAGAGGUGAAAUUCGUAGAUAUCAAGCGGAACACCGGUGGCGAAGGCGGCAUCCUGGACCAACACUGACGCUGAUGAGCGAAAGCCAGGGGAGCAAACGGG